rnacentral:lncRNA from 1 species
CAACUUAUCAAGGGAGAGACUUGGAAACAAAACAGGUGAUUCUUGCGAAAAUUAGAGGGCAUAUCAAGGUUGGAAAUUUUGUUCUAGUUAGCAUUUUUUGUUUAUUUAUUGAAAGAAAAUAUUUUGAUGUUUUAUUCCAAGGUCUUAUAUAUAUUAACUUUAAAUUAUAUAAUAAAAACAUAAUGUGAAGUAUCUAAAUAUAAUUUUAAAACUUAAAAUAUUUUUAAAAAAUUAAAAUUCAAAACUAAAAAAAGCUUUAAUUUUAAGUAAUUCCACACAAAAAAAAUAUUGAAAAAGUAAAAAGUUUUAAUACAGAAAUAAAGAUCUUGAUCAUGUCAUGAUAUGUAGGGAAAAUUAUUAAAUACACAUUUUAAUAUAUAGUCAUUUCCACCAAGCACAUUAUCAUCAUCAAAAUAGAUCUCUUUAUCCUUUAAAAUUGAAGCAGACAAAGUUAUCUAAAUAUUCUUUUAAUUUAAAUCAUCUUCAUCAAGAAAACUAAGUUAUUCACAAAUUAUCAUUUAAUAAAUAAAAGUUAUCACGGUUAAUGAGAUCUAAAGUAUUAUUUAUUUUGCUCAAAGUUCUAUAUAAUACACACAUAAAAGAAAACAACAUGAAUAUAAAUUAUAUAUAUUAGUGAUAAAUUCUAUUUUUUAAAAAAUAAUUCCAAUAUUAAUGAAAAUAAUAAUAAUUAUUAUAUUCAAUAUUAUUAUUAUAAUAAUAAUAUUAAUGUUUACCAAUAAUAAACAAAGACUAAAUCACAUAGUCUCUACCAAGUGCAAGUUUAAAUUGAUUUUAAUGCUUGAUUUUAAACUCUCUUUUGCUACCAAUAUGAGAUGUUGCUUUCCAAUAUAUUGAGUUUAUGCAGCACGUUAUUCAUAAGGUUUGAAGAACUACCAGGGGGAGCAUAAUCUGAUCUGGUUCGUUUGUUUAUAUGACAAAAAUUGUGUUCUUUGUCCAAGCUUUGAGAAGUAAACUUGCAGGGGAAGUGUCAACAUUGGAGGGUAGCUUGGUUUGCUCUGGAUACAUUUAUGAGUCUACGGAUUUUGCAGUGUACUGCUUGAUCAUGUGUUGUAUUUUGUUUAGUUGUUUUGGUAUUACUUGAAGCAGCGUUCUUUAAUGGGCUAAGUUCCUAGUGUUUCUUUGGAUAUGUUCGAUUCUAUCUGCAGAAUCAUGUUAGGAUUGUCAAUUUUGGAAGAAUUUACUAACGUUUGACAUUACCGAUUAUGGAUGUGUAAAUUGUAAUGGCAAGGCCAAGUCUGAAUGGUUGGCUCUAUCCAUAAAGCAAAUAGCUGGGCUUAAAGGAAAGCCUCCCUCCAAUUAUGUCGCG